GCGUCGGUGGUGCACGGUGCAUGCAGUCCUUCUGUGCGCCGCAUACGAGUAUUCAUACGUGAGACUGAUUGGGGUUCGACUCCCCGCCGACGCC